GUCUAUCAGAAUAUUGCUUUUGAUUCUUCUACACUGCUCUACAUUGGAGAAGUUUGCAUCCUAAACAAAACAAUCGAUAUUGAAUACCAUGGGAUUAUUAAAGAACUAUCUCAUAUUCUGCCUGGUGUUACCAUGGGCCUUGUUAACUGAGGUACAAGGGACCAGUCCUACCACCGCUACUAAAAAACAUACAGCCACCUCUACAAUUGAACCAUCUUCAACCACUGUUACUACAGCCUCCACAAGUUCUGCCAGAUCUACUUCUUCUCAGUCUUCU